GAGAGUAGGUUAUUGCCAGGGUUUUUAUUUUAUACUUUAAACAUUGAUUUUAUUUUUUAUGUUUUUAGAUGUUUAUAUUAUUUGAAUGUUUUAUUCAAAUAAUAUAAAAAAUAAAAUAUAUAUAUUGACAUGGAUUAAACAAAGAUAUAUAUUAUUCUAUGUUGUAUAAACAAAUUGGCAAAAUAGAGAUGGAAGAUAAAAAUA
rnacentral:misc_RNA from 1 species